UUAGAAAACAUCCCGCAAUUUCACAGCCUAUUAGAGUUUUGGCACCGGUGCAAACCGCCGUUUGAACUGAAACAUUCAUUCAGUUUAAUCAUGAAAAAAACCGAUACAGUUUGCUCGUGUUGUCUAAUAAUAGUGCGAGAUUCACGGCCGGCGGGUCGCGACGAAAAUAUGAGCAUUGCGCGCGAGUGACAACGCGCGCCGACUGAUGCUGGCUGCAGCGCAGUGUCUAUGGAUUCACUUCAUCUGCUGUAUGGAAAACAGGAUUUGCGAUCAUUUUUCGCGCCAUUUGCUGAUUUCUGGAGUUGUUUUAAGUCUGGCUAUGAGCAUGGAGCGCCGCUCCUACUCCGGACCCUCCACUCCGCCGCCCGUCAGCAAGCGGCUCUUCGCGACGGUCGUACUGUUUAUAGGAGUCAUCUGUGUUUUCGGAGGGUACCUUCUAGGGCGAAUGGCACGCGUGGAGCCGCGCCAUGCCGGCGCCAUCGUCUCCGCCAACCUGUCCCUGGUUGCUGAUCAGCUCUACAAGAAAGCCAAGAGGAUCCCGCCAAAAGCCGUCCACCAUAACGACCCCGAAAAAAUAAGGAUCAAACUCCACGAAAUAUUCCAAUGUAAUCAAAACGAUUGCGGCUCUAUCAAUAAUUACAAUUUAAGUGAUUAUAUAAGAAACUCUAUAAAUUACCAAAUGAUUAAACUGAUGAAAUCAAUACACAAUGCGACCACUUAUUUAGAUUCGUUAAGAUGACAUUAACUAAAAUAAUUUAGAUUUUAUUGUAUAGUUGUUAAGAUGUAAAAAUAAAUCAGUUGUUAAGAUGUAUAAAUAAUCGAAAAUGUCGGAAGAUAAAGUUAGCAUAGUCAUGAAAUAAAUUAUUUUCCUACAUUA